rnacentral:rRNA from 1 species
GGGUUGUGAGGUUAAGCGACUAAGCGUACACGGUGGAUGCCCUGGCAGUCAGAGGCGAUGAAGGACGUGCUAAUCUGCGAUAAGCGUCGGUAAGGUGAUAUGAACCGUUAUAACCGGCGAUUUCCGAAUGGGGAAACCCAGUGUGUUUCGACACACUAUCAUUAACUGAAUCCAUAGGUUAAUGAGGCGAACCGGGGGAACUGAAACAUCUAAGUACCCCGAGGAAAAGAAAUCAACCGAGAUUCCCCCAGUAGCGGCGAGCGAACGGGGAGCAGCCCAGAGCCUGAAUCAGUGUGUGUGUUAGUGGAAGCGUCUGGAAAGGCGCGCGAUACAGGGUGACAGCCCCGUACACAAAAAUGCACAUGCUGUGAGCUCGAUGAGUAGGGCGGGACACGUGGUAUCCUGUCUGAAUAUGGGGGGACCAUCCUCCAAGGCUAAAUACUCCUGACUGACCGAUAGUGAACCAGUACCGUGAGGGAAAGGCGAAAAGAACCCCGGCGAGGGGAGUGAAAAAGAACCUGAAACCGUGUACGUACAAGCAGUGGGAGCACGCUUAGGCGUGUGACUGCGUACCUUUUGUAUAAUGGGUCAGCGACUUAUAUUCUGUAGCAAGGUUAACCGAAUAGGGGAGCCGAAGGGAAACCGAGUCUUAACUGGGCGUUAAGUUGCAGGGUAUAGACCCGAAACCCGGUGAUCUAGCCAUGGGCAGGUUGAAGGUUGGGUAACACUAACUGGAGGACCGAACCGACUAAUGUUGAAAAAUUAGCGGAUGACUUGUGGCUGGGGGUGAAAGGCCAAUCAAACCGGGAGAUAGCUGGUUCUCCCCGAAAGCUAUUUAGGUAGCGCCUCGUGAAUUCAUCUCCGGGGGUAGAGCACUGUUUCGGCAAGGGGGUCAUCCCGACUUACCAACCCGAUGCAAACUGCGAAUACCGGAGAAUGUUAUCACGGGAGACACACGGCGGGUGCUAACGUCCGUCGUGAAGAGGGAAACAACCCAGACCGCCAGCUAAGGUCCCAAAGUCAUGGUUAAGUGGGAAACGAUGUGGGAAGGCCCAGACAGCCAGGAUGUUGGCUUAGAAGCAGCCAUCAUUUAAAGAAAGCGUAAUAGCUCACUGGUCGAGUCGGCCUGCGCGGAAGAUGUAACGGGGCUAAACCAUGCACCGAAGCUGCGGCAGCGACGCUGAUGCGUUGUUGGGUAGGGGAGCGUUCUGUAAGCCUGCGAAGGUGUGCUGUGAGGCAUGCUGGAGGUAUCAGAAGUGCGAAUGCUGACAUAAGUAACGAUAAAGCGGGUGAAAAGCCCGCUCGCCGGAAGACCAAGGGUUCCUGUCCAACGUUAAUCGGGGCAGGGUGAGUCGACCCCUAAGGCGAGGCCGAAAGGCGUAGUCGAUGGGAAACAGGUUAAUAUUCCUGUACUUGGUGUUACUGCGAAGGGGGGACGGAGAAGGCUAUGUUGGCCGGGCGACGGUUGUCCCGGUUUAAGCGUGUAGGCUGGUUUUCCAGGCAAAUCCGGAAAAUCAAGGCUGAGGCGUGAUGACGAGGCACUACGGUGCUGAAGCAACAAAUGCCCUGCUUCCAGGAAAAGCCUCUAAGCAUCAGGUAACAUCAAAUCGUACCCCAAACCGACACAGGUGGUCAGGUAGAGAAUACCAAGGCGCUUGAGAGAACUCGGGUGAAGGAACUAGGCAAAAUGGUGCCGUAACUUCGGGAGAAGGCACGCUGAUAUGUAGGUGAAGUCCCUUGCGGAUGGAGCUGAAAUCAGUCGAAGAUACCAGCUGGCUGCAACUGUUUAUUAAAAACACAGCACUGUGCAAACACGAAAGUGGACGUAUACGGUGUGACGCCUGCCCGGUGCCGGAAGGUUAAUUGAUGGGGUCAGCGCAAGCGAAGCUCUUGAUCGAAGCCCCGGUAAACGGCGGCCGUAACUAUAACGGUCCUAAGGUAGCGAAAUUCCUUGUCGGGUAAGUUCCGACCUGCACGAAUGGCGUAAUGAUGGCCAGGCUGUCUCCACCCGAGACUCAGUGAAAUUGAACUCGCUGUGAAGAUGCAGUGUACCCGCGGCAAGACGGAAAGACCCCGUGAACCUUUACUAUAGCUUGACACUGAACAUUGAGCCUUGAUGUGUAGGAUAGGUGGGAGGCUUGGAAGUGUGGACGCCAGUCUGCAUGGAGCCGACCUUGAAAUACCACCCUUUAAUGUUUGAUGUUCUAACGUUGACCCGUAAUCCGGGUUGCGGACAGUGUCUGGUGGGUAGUUUGACUGGGGCGGUCUCCUCCUAAAGAGUAACGGAGGAGCACGAAGGUUGGCUAAUCCUGGUCGGACAUCAGGAGGUUAGUGCAAUGGCAUAAGCCAGCUUGACUGCGAGCGUGACGGCGCGAGCAGGUGCGAAAGCAGGUCAUAGUGAUCCGGUGGUUCUGAAUGGAAGGGCCAUCGCUCAACGGAUAAAAGGUACUCCGGGGAUAACAGGCUGAUACCGCCCAAGAGUUCAUAUCGACGGCGGUGUUUGGCACCUCGAUGUCGGCUCAUCACAUCCUGGGGCUGAAGUAGGUCCCAAGGGUAUGGCUGUUCGCCAUUUAAAGUGGUACGCGAGCUGGGUUUAGAACGUCGUGAGACAGUUCGGUCCCUAUCUGCCGUGGGCGCUGGAGAACUGAGGGGGGCUGCUCCUAGUACGAGAGGACCGGAGUGGACGCAUCACUGGUGUUCGGGUUGUCAUGCCAAUGGCACUGCCCGGUAGCUAAAUGCGGAAGAGAUAAGUGCUGAAAGCAUCUAAGCACGAAACUUGCCCCGAGAUGAGUUCUCCCUGACUCCUUGAGAGUCCUGAAGGAACGUUGAAGACGACGACGUUGAUAGGCCGGGUGUGUAAGCGCAGCGAUGCGUUGAGCUAACCGGUACUAAUGAACCGUGAGG